rnacentral:rRNA from 1 species
GAUGAACGCUGGCGGCGUGCCUAAUACAUGCAAGUCGAGCGAACAGACGAGGAGCUUGCUCCUCUGACGUUAGCGGCGGACGGGUGAGUAACACGUGGAUAACCUACCUAUAAGACUGGGAUAACUUCGGGAAACCGGAGCUAAUACCGGAUAAUAUAUUGAACCGCAUGGUUCAAUAGUGAAAGACGGUUUUGCUGUCACUUACAGAUGGAUCCGCGCCGCAUUAGCUAGUUGGUAAGGUAACGGCUUACCAAGGCAACGAUGCGUAGCCGACCUGAGAGGGUGAUCGGCCACACUGGAACGGAGACACGGUCCAGACUCCUACGGGAGGCAGCAGUAGGGAAUCUUCCGCAAUGGGCGAAAGCUUGACGGAGCAACGCCGCGUGAGUGAUGAAGGUCUUCGGAUCGUAAAACUCUGUUAUUAGGGAAGAACAAAUGUGUAAGUAACUAUGCACGUCUUGACGGUACCUAAUCAGAAAGCCACGGCUAACUACGUG